CGGCGACCACGAAGAAACGGAGGAGUAACAACUGCAGCCGCCACCAUGGUGUUGAAGACCGAGCUUUGUCGAUUCAGUGGAGCGAAGAUAUAUCCGGGUAAAGGAAUCAGAUUUGUUCGUGCAGAUUCACAGGUUUUCCUGUUUGCUAACUCCAAAUGCAAGAGGUACUUCCAUAACAGAUUGAAGCCUUCUAAGCUCACCUGGACAGCAAUGUACAGGAAGCAACAUAAGAAG
rnacentral:misc_RNA from 1 species